rnacentral:rRNA from 1 species
GACGAACGCUGGCGGCGUGCUUAACACAUGCAAGUCGAACGGAAAGGCCCUGCUUGCAGGGUACUCGAGUGGCGAACUGGUGAGUAACACGUGGGUGAUCUGCCCUGCACUUCGGGAUAAGCCUGGGAAACUGGGUCUAAUACCGGAUAGGAGCCAUUUUUAGUGUGAUGGUUGGAAAGUUUUUUCGGUGUAGGAUGAGCUCGCGGCCUAUCAGCUUGUUGGUGGGGUAAUGGCCUACCAAGGCGGCGACGGGUAGCCGGCCUGAGAGGGUGGACGGCCACAUUGGGACUGAGAUACGGCCCAGACUCCUACGGGAGGCAGCAGUGGGGAAGAUUGCACAAUGGGCGCAAGCCUGAUGCAGCGACGCCGCGUGGGGGAUGACGGCCUUCGGGUUGUAAACUCCUUUCGCUAGGGACGAAGCUUUUUGUGACGGUACCUAGAUAAGAAGCACCGGCUAACUACGUG